UCUCCCCAAAAACAUAAGGCAUAAGCAUAACGCAUAACUCUCUUCCGGAAGUUCUCUUUCUUGUACCCAUUCCACAGACAAAUUUCUUUCUUUCUGCGUCGCUAUUUCUUAAACCCUAACAAAUUUCUUAAUCUUAUCAAAUUGCUGUUUCUCCGUAUGAAGAUCAAAAUGGAUUAUUUCAACAAACUGUCGCGCAAAAUUACAAUAGAGAUAUUAACUAGUGCACCAUGGUGCUUGAUUGCAAAUUAGUCUCCAAAAAUUGGAGAAAUAUCGUUUCUAAUGAUCGAUCAUUCAAUCUUACGUCAUCCUGCUGCUGCUGAAGAUUCUUGUAAGUUGGGUUUUCUUGCUUUAAUUGAUAAUAAUAGAUUUACUUUUUUGAAUAUAAUGAUGAUCAGAAUCAUGAGUUAAGAAAACCCAUUAAGAGAAUUAGAAGGAUGAUUGCAACACCAACUUUAGGUACUUGCUUUAUUGGAUCUUGUAACGGUUUAAUCUGUAUUGCUGGAGAGGAACAUGAUAUACCUGUUUGUUUAUGUAACCCUCUCAUCAAAGAGUAUCUCAACCUUCCAGAAAUCAAAAUAGAUGCCGAUGAUUUUGGUUUUUGCACAUUCGGAUUUGGUUACCUUCCUUCAACAAAUGAGUACAAAUUGGUAGCGAUAUAUGUGUUCGACCGAGUUUAUAGAAGUCCAAUGGCAAUGGAUGGAGAGACCUUGGAAAGUUCAAUUCUGAUAUCUGCCCUAUGUAUAAUCAACGCCAUGAACAUGGUAGCUUUGCCAAUGGAUCUCUUUAUUGGGAUAACACUAAUAUACAUACGAUCUUGACCUUCGAUUUGAUUGAGGAAAAGUUCUGCGGACAUCUUGCACCUCCUCCUUCCCCACCAGACACUAAAUUGCUACAUCAUACAAUAGGGGUUUUGGGUGAAUUCUUGUAUAUUACUGUAGUUGACGAAGGAGAAGAAGGUUUUGACAUAUGGCUAUUGAAAAAGAAGAAUGAUAAUCAUGGCAAGAAAGAGGGAGAGGAACAUCGCCCAUUGGAAUGGAGUAAAGAGUUUAGGGUUGAUGAGAGACAUUCAUUAGCCCUUACGAAGAGGGGGCAUGUUUUAACUUACAUUAGUGUUGAUAACUAUCUCAACAUUUACAGCACAAAAGCUUCAACCUCGAAACCGCUUGUGGAUUUUAAGGAAUGGGCUCGUCAAGUAUUCCCUCACAAGAGCACCUUCAUAUAGUUGAAAGAAUUAAGGGAAAAGAUACAGAAAUAAUGAAGUCAGUUAAAGGAGGCAGAAAGCAGUAAUUCACCUUUCAAGCAUCUACAGGAGGAUGCGAACCCUGAGUAUGUACUUAUAAACUGGUUGGGCUGAUGCUUGUGUUUGCACCAGCAGGACGCGUUAUGGCUGGAAUUGCUCUUUCUGGAGCUUUUGACGUCUUCACAAGCUCAGUAAAUUUUAACUGCCUGGAACUAGGGCAUUCUGAUGUAAGCCUGUUUCUGGUUUUCUUGCUUCUGCACAUUCUUCGCGUGAUGACCUUAGAACACUUCGCGUUAUUUUUGGGCCGUGGUGCAGUGGUGGCCUCCAGCCCAACAAAGGGAUGGAGCAGUUUGAGUCCUUGAUCUAUGCCAGUUCCUUUGCUGUCCUUUAUAUCGUAACAUCAGUAUAUUUCUCAGGAGUGAUGGUUCGGCCGAUGCUUGUAUUCGCUCCAGCUGCAUGCAUUAUGGCUGGAAUGCUCUUUCUGGAGCUUUUGAUGUUUUCACAUGCUCAGUCAAAGUUUCAACUGCCUGGAUUACUAGGAUAUUCUGAUGUAAGCGUGAUUCUGGCUUUCUUGCUUGUGCACGUUCUUGGAGUCUUGUGUAUAGUGUCAGGUCUUCACCACACACCUGCAGAUGGUGUGGUUAUAAACACUAAAACCUCCAAGGAGGAUCGAAGGAAAGACAGAGAUAUCAAAAGCGGUAAAACCCCAAUUCAUGGGUUUGUAGAGACUAGUGAGUGUAUAUCUAAGAUGAAAUGAGAAGCGAUAAUUCUGUAGCUAUAAACUGUUUUUGGAUCACAGUAUCUAAUUGUUGACAUACGUUGAACACCGGAUCCUUCUUCUAUGCCACUUUAAUGCUUCAGCAUACUAUCUACAUGGUGUGCUCUUCGGGAGGUUACACCUUUAUUAUUAACGUUAUCCCAGUACAUGUGCUUCUGUGCAUUGCAACUGAUCGUUACUCUCUUUGGCUGUAUGUUGCGUAUGCUCCUCUUGUGGUCCUGGCCCCUGGGUCAUUAUUGGCUUCAUUGGUGCUUGUUGUUGGCUUCAAAGCUGUGAUGACCUUGGAACACUUCGCGUUGUUUUUGGUGAGUUAAUCGGAUGUGGUGGCUAAUUGGGCACCUUCCUGUAGAUCCUACUACUCAAAAUUGUGGUUGCUUUCUUCUCCCAUUCUGCUUUUAACCAAUUUAAAUAUUUAAUAUCUGUUUUGCUUGUGGCACAUUAUUUCUUAUUUUCUGAUGAUGUUGUUCUUUUCCUUUUUUCCUGGUUUUCAUUAUUACCCAUGUGGUGGCUCUUGUGUAUUACAUCAAGGGAUUUCUAUGUCGGCAAAUAUUUGAAGUGGCUGUGGCACAUGUAGUAACUGUUGGCAUUAUUUUUACUGUCUAACAUAUCAAAUGGAGCCGAAACUUUGUUCUUCACUAAUUUCUUAGGGUGGUCUUUACUGCCGUUGUGAGAAUACUUGUGGCAGAGGUGGCCUCCAGCCCAACAAACGGAUGGAGUGGUUGCAUUUUGAGUCUUCUUGAUCCGCAUGCUUUCUUCCGCUAUCAGAUGCCAGUUCCUUUGCUGGCCUUUAUAUCGUAACAUCAGUAUUUUUGUCAGGAGUCAUGGUUAGGCUGAUGCUUGUGUUUGCUCCAGCUGCAAGCAUUAUGGCUGCUCUUUCUGGAGCUUUCGCUGUUUUCACAUGAUCAGUCAAAUUUCAAAUGCCUGGAUUACUAGGGGAUUCUGAUGUCUAUCACCACACACCAUCUGAUGGUGUGAAAAUACAAAUUGAAACUUCCAAGGAACAUGAUGAAAGGAAGACAGGGAUGAGCACAUGUGGAGAGAUAGGGUUGAGCUGAGCACUUCUCAGAGGAGAGAGAUUCAUUCUUACAAUCAGCAUAACAAUGUCUGCAAAUUCAAAAUUAUCUAAACGGAUUUUUGACUAUCCUUCGCCAGAUUUUUUAUUCUGAUACAUGUGUAAUUCAUCUAAAGCUAUGUAGUUUUAUAAACAUAGCCAAUUCUUCAAGUUGUUAAUGAGCCCAUUGUGGUCUUCAGGUUUGUAUGAAUCGAUUAAAAUGAAAAAUCUAGCAGGGAAAACACAAACACAGACGAAAGUAUUUUAAAUGUGCAAUGUGCAUAACAGCCAAAACCA